rnacentral:lncRNA from 1 species
AUGCGUGUCAGUGCACAGGUGCACAGGUGCGCCCUGCGCAGGUGUGUGCAGGUGUGCACAAGUGUGUACAGGUGUGUGCAGGUGUGCAAACGUGUGUGUACAGGUGUGUGCAGGUGUGUGCAGGUGUGUGCAGGUGUGUGCAGGUGUGCAAAGGUGUGUGUACAGGUGUGUACAGGUGUGUGCAGGUGUGUGCAGGUGUGUGCAGGUGUGCAAAGGUGUGUGUACAGGUGUGUACAGGUGUGUGCAGGUGAGCUGAGUUACAGUACAUGCUUUGUGCAGGUGUGUACAGGUGUGUACAGGUAUGUACAAGUCCUCACAGGUGUGCGCAGGUGUGUGCAGGCACUCACAGGUGUGCACAGGUGUGCGCAGGUGUGUCAAUGUGCAGGCGUGUGCAGGUGUGUAGAGGUGUGUGUACAGGUGUGCACAGGUGUGUCCAGGUGUGCGCACAGGUGUGUCCAGGUGCUCACACGUGUGUACAGGUAUUCUCACUCCCCCUCUCCCCACGCCCACCCCUCAUGUUCUUGGCGUGUCCUUGGCAUGUCCUGGGCCUGUCCAGGUGCCGUGGGCGUGUCCAGGUGUCCGUGGGCGUGGCCUGGCCGUGGGCGUGUCCAGGUGUCCGUGGGCGUAUCCAGGUGUCAAUGGGCGUGUCCAGGUGUCCGUGGGCGUGUCCAGGUGCCGUGGGCGUGUCCAGGUAUCCGUGGGCGCGUCCAGGUGCCGUGGGCGUGUCCAGGUGCCGUGGGCGUGGCCUGGCCGUGGGCGUGUCCAGGUGUCCGUGGGCGUGUCCAGGUGUCCGUGGGCGUGUCCGUGGGCGUGUCCAGGUGUCCCGGCCGUGUCCAGGUGUCCGUGGGCGUGUCCAGGUGUCCCGGGCGUGUCCGUGGGCGUGGCCGUGCGGUGGGGGAGGGGCGGCUAUCGCUACUCUGACGUCAUCCCUGAUUUCGGUCGCUCUAAGGGGGGGAGGGGCGGGGGGAGGGGUUUCGGCUCGGGGGGGUCCCUGAUUGCUCGAGCCCAUGCGGUCGCUAAUUAAUCGGUAAUUAACGGUCGGUAAUUAUUGCUCUAGGGCGGGCGGCGCGCCCGCGGUUCUACAGUUUG